rnacentral:rRNA from 1 species
UACAGAGGUGGCAAGCGUUGUUCGGAAUUACUGGGCGUAAAGGGCGCGUAGGCGGCCUUCUAAGUCAGACGUGAAAUCCCCAGGCUUAACUUGGGAACUGCGUCUGAUACUGGGAGGCUUGAGUGCGGGAGAGGUGAGUGGAACUCCGAGUGUAGAGGUGAAAUUCGUAGAUAUUCGGAAGAACACCAGUGGCGAAGGCGGCUCACUGGCCCGGUACUGACGCUCAUGUGCGAAAGCGUGGGGAGCAAACAGG